GAUGAACGCUGGCGGCGUGCUUAACACAUGCAAGUCGAACGGAAAGGCCCAAGCUUGCUUGGGUACUCGAGUGGCGAAUGGGUGAGUAACACGUGGGUGAUCUGCCCUGCACUUCGGGAUAAGCCUGGGAAACUGGGUCUAAUACUGGAUAGGACCACUUCUUGGAUGGUGUGGUGGAAAGUUUUUUCGGUGUGGGAUGAGCUCGCGGCCUAUCAGCUUGUUGGUGGGGUAAUGGCCUACCAAGGCGUCGACGGGUAGCCGGCCUGAGAGGGUGUACGGCCACAUUGGGACUGAGAUACGGCCCAGACUCCUACGGGAGGCAGCAAUGGGGAAUAUUGCACAAUGGGCGCAAGCCUGAUGCAGCGACGCCGCGUGGGGGAUGACGGCCUUCGGGUUGUAAACUCCUUUCGCUAGGGACGAAGCGUUUUUGUGACGGUACCUGGAGAAGAAGCACCGGCUAACUACGUG
rnacentral:rRNA from 1 species